UACGAAGGGGGCUAGCGUUGCUCGGAAUCACUGGGCGUAAAGCGCACGUAGGCGGCUUUUUAAGUCAGGGGUGAAAUCCUGGAGCUCAACUCCAGAACUGCCUUUGAUACUGAGAAGCUUGAGUCCGGGAGAGGUGAGUGGAACUGCGAGUGUAGAGGUGAAAUUCGUAGAUAUUCGCAAGAACACCAGUGGCGAAGGCGGCUCACUGGCCCGGUACUGACGCUGAGGUGCGAAAGCGUGGGGAGCAACAGGG
rnacentral:rRNA from 1 species